CAGCGGUGAAUACUGGUGUGAGACUGGAGCAGGAGAGAAAAGCAUCAGUGUCAACAUCACAAUAACUCCUGGUUCUGUUGUCCUAGAGAGUCCUGUUGUCCCUGUCAAGGAGGGAAACAAUGUGACUCUGCGCUGCAGGAACAAGACAAAGACUUCAAACCUCACGGCUGAUUUCUAUAAAGAUGGCUUCCUCAUCGGGAACAGCUACACAGGAGAGAUGACCAUCCACAAAGUUUCCAGGUCUGAUGAAGGACUCUACAAGUGUAAGAUGUUUGAUACUGGAGAAUCACCAGAGAGCUUGUUGACUGUCACAGCACUUCACAGAGAGACCUGCUCAUCUUCUUGUUCUGCCGUCCAGGUGUUCCUAAUGUUGAGGACUAUUUUCACCAUUGUGAUGGUGGUUCUGCUGCUUUUGUUAGUGGGAUUACUUCACUUUGGAAAACUCAGUGUUACACAGACAUAAAUGGUAUCUGUAUAUAAAGAUGACUGAUGGAGAAUGUUCUGGAAGUUUUAACAUUUAGAUAAUAAAACAGUGCAGUGAACUGGACAAUUAUAAGAGCUACACUAUGACAGGUGAUUGCAAAUAUUGUAAAAAAUACUUCGACUUCAGUUUUUUUUUCUAUAUACUUUUUUUCCUGCAGUAUUCUGUUGACUUUGUUGGUUGCUGUUAAACUUGUCAUGCACAGAAGAGUUUAAAACCACAGGCCUGCUGAGCAUGUUUAAAGACCUCUCAGUAUCUCAGUUUACUCAGCGUGUAGUGAUUUUAGAUGCUGCAGACACUCCAGUAAUUUUAGCUUCUUAGAGACAAACCGCACGAGAAAACGUUUGUUCACAGUAGAGUUAAUACUUCAGUGUGAUCAUUUCAGUCUCAGCUUGUG